GCUGGGAUUGGGGCGUGUGUCCAGGGAUGCAGCCGUGGUCCUUCCUUGUCUGGGGCGCGGCGGGACAGGGCUGCUAUGGGCGCCUUGGGGAACUCAGCCUUUCCAUGUCUGUUCGGUCCUUCAGAGAGCGCUGCUGAGGGCUCUGGGGAGACAGCAGCCAGCUAGAUGGGGUCUGGUGUAGCUGGGCCCCUGGCACUGGGUGGCCUUGCCAGCGGUGGGCCUUGUCUGGGAACAAGGGCCCGCCUUCAGCACGUUUCCCCUGUGUGUGUGGAGAGUGGACUUAGCCCGAGCCCUAGGGAGCUGAAGGUUCCCACAGCCAGGGAGGAAGCUGCAGCUACAGACUGACGGUUCCCGGAGCUUCUGUUGGCUUUGGGUGAUUUCACGGAACAGUUGGCCAGAGCGCUGCGAGGCAGAGCUAUGACCUCUCGGCCCAGCAGCCAGCAGAAGGAGUGGCUUAGCCUUCCAGAGAAGUGCAGUGUGGGUUGCCACACCCUCCCCUGGCCAAGAGUCCAGGGAGCAGAGGACCUGGCUCUGUCCCAGCUCGGCCCUGCGGACGUCUCUGCAUCUCUCUUAGCCUGCUCCCUGGCUGUCAGGAGAGACUAGUCCCCCCCUUGCCUGGCUGCAGUGAAAACCCAGUGAGACGGGACCUAAAGUACCCCACCUCUGCCCACGUGCAGAGGUGGAGAAUCAGACAUGGAAGGAGUCUGAGCUUUUUUGUGGUCCCUUCUGUUGAGGUUUGGAAUCUGGAAAUGGAUCGUCCUUGCCGGUGGUCCUCACUGAUGUGGACUGUCAGGGCCUCCCCCUGUGAGCAGCGUGGCCUUGCAUCGCUUGGAUGUUUCCGUCUUGCUGGACUUAUUGGAAGGAGCUAUAAGUGAAACACUCUGCCCCAAAAUGUCAAGUUCAUCAGGGGGUUUCAUGCUAAAGCCCCUGAAAAGUGGCAGACGUUUCUUGUUCCUUGCCUUGUUUGUAGUGGCAGCGUCUGUUGCCCAUGCCCGGUGGCCCUGGUGUUUGAGCUUAGGGAUGUGGUGCGGACAUGGGGGUAGGGGAGGAGGAGGGAAGAAAAGGGGAGCAUUGGACAGCUUAUCAGGCUAGUAAGAAAAGAUACUUUCGUUAGGUAAAGCAUGAAAUGGGAGCCCAGUUGGAAAUAAUAAUAAUGGUAUGGAUAUAGUGUUAUGAAUAUCGUUAUUUUCCCCCAGCUUUGGCCUGAUCAGGGCUUACAUGCACUUGGAUUUUAUAUAUAUAUAUAGAUGUUAUUAAUAAUCUUAAUUACUAAAGAGUAGCUAACUUUUACCAGACUUUUAUUUGCAGAUACUGCAAAGUGCUAAGCCCUGUAAUAUGCAUUAUUUCAUGAAAUUUUCUCAAGAACCUUAUGGGUAAUUAUCAUCCCCAUUUUAGAGCGAGGGAAACGGAAGCUGAGAGGUUGAACAUCUUGUCCGAGGUGCGCUGAGGCAGGGCGGGGGAGCCAGCAGCUCGAGCCCCCGCCUCAGACCCUGGGUUUCCCCUAAGGAUACCACUUCCUGGGUGCUAGGUUGUUCCUGGGUGUGACCGAUCGGCAGGCAGGGCAGUGCUUUCAUUAUACUAAUGAGGAGGACAGUGGUCCAAUGGCGGUCAAGGGCAAAGGUUGUGGAGCUGGACUGCCCUGACUCCACAUACGACUGCUUACCAGCUGGGUGGCCUUGGGCAAAUGACUGAUCUGCUCCUCGGUUUACUCAUCUGUGCCUCCCUCAAGCGUUGUUGUGAGGAUUAACACCGGCGAAGGGCCUAGAAGGGGGCUGUUAAUAUGCGUUCAUCAUUGUUCUGUCACUGUCCCUGUGCACGGUCCCGGGUCCACACUUGGGGGGUGUCUCUGGGUCAGGAUGGAGACUGGCAUGAAACAGAUGCCCAAUAAACAUUCUCUGCAUGAGGGAAUGGAGUUUACCAGGUGGUCGGCAGGGCUCCUCUAGUCAUCAGUCUUCUCUUCCAAGGAUCUUCCCCACCGUUUCCUGCCUGAGACGGACCCAUAAGUAGGGCUGACCCUUCCUUUCAUCCACGCUGGCCAGCGCGAGCUCGCUGGGUCUGCCUGGGGGGAGGGUCCGAGUGGACCCCGGUGAUGGCUGGAGACACAGGCUUCUUGGAGAGGCAAUUGAUGGCAGAUGCCAGCUCUCCAGCCUGCAGGGUGGGGCGUGUGGGAAGCCGGCUGUUCUCUGAAUAGUGGGGGCUGCUCCGUGUGAGUGUGUGAGCUGCGGAGCUGGAGUCCCUGCCCGAGCCUCGUGGGAGGGGCUCAGAGGGCUGGGCGGGCCAGUGCAGGAGGCUGCAGAGCCUGUCAAGGUUAACAGAUAGGCCUUGGCUCUCCCCUAGGAAGUCAUUCAGUUUCUCCCCUGACUCAGGCCACAUUGUUUCAAAGCAUGUGGUAUAAACUACUAACCACUGGGGAAUUGCUUGAAUUAACAAACUCAUUUUUCCCGAGACCUGAGGUUGAACUUGAGUGAGGAGUUCAGGGCUCUUUCGCAGAAAUCCAAUAGAUCAGGAGAACUCAUGUUACACCAUGUUUUCAACCUUGAUCAAAUGCACAUUUUGCACGGUGGGGCCUUCUCCACGCCUGCACACUUCCAGCUGCACCGAUAGCUCAGGACCGUGGCAGACCGGGGCAGUAGCUGGCACUGGGGUUGGGCUUUGGGGGAGCUGGCCUCCUGCCUGGGUUGGAAGGCGCUUCAGAAAGGUUCCUCUCUUCCUCUCUCCCUCUUCUCCUCCUAACUCCUGCCACCCCCACGCCUGCCCUUCUGAGUGCCAUUACUUAAGAGGAGGCAUGAAGGUUUUGCUGGAACGGUCCUGGGUUCUGGGCUGAGUCACGGGGCCCCAGCUCAGCUCUCCGGUGUGUCUUGUCUCUGCCUGUGAAGACCUGCUGGGCCUGCUUCCCCUUCAGCAGGGCGCCCGGCACAGGGGCCACUAUAGAUCUGCAGGGUCAAGCAGGAAUCGGUCCCUCUCCCACGGCCCUCCCCACCCACACAGCCCACGGCCAGGCCAUGUCCAAGAGCGGAAGCUCAGGGGAGGCCUGGAGAUGGCUCUACAGCCUACAGGACAGAGGCCAGUCCCAGUAGGCCAGGAACUCCCCAGGGACGAAGUUUCUGUGUGCGGUAUAGGACUGGAACCACAGGGGACGUGGAUGGCAGAGGAUGGGGAAGGUGGGGCUCAGGGAGGAGUUCACGUAAGGAGGGUAGGCUUCCUAGAGGAGGCUGGGUGGCACGUGGAGCCCCAAGAAAGAAGAGAACGGAUGAGGAACUUCCCAGAAAACAACAUUGCUCCCCAGACCCUGUCCUUUGCCAUCCAGAUGCUGAGGAUUCUGUUUUUUGUGAGGCAAGGUGUAUAUGGCCCAAACUGGUGGUUCUUAAACCAGGCUCAGCCGCCUGAUCACCUGGGGAACUCUGUAACACUAUAGACGUACAGCCCCACCCCAGACCUAUCCAGUCAAUUGCCCUUCGAUGGGGUCUGGACAUCUGCAGUUCUGAAGCUCCCCAGAGUGUUACGGUGCUGGGCCAGGGUCCAGAGACCCUUCCCCCUGCAUGGGUUGGCUGUGCUCAGCCCUCUUCUUUCCUGGCUGGUGGCUAUCUGGGGCUCAAGGACAUUAAGCCAUGGGGACACAUUUGAUGGAAUCGCCAUGGACUUCAGUGUCCCUGUGGCCCAACUCAGCUCAGGCUGUAGGAGGGCAACUUCUGGAUCACGGAGGGUAGGACUUCCGGGCCCCAGGGGUAGGAGAGGAUGGCUCAGCUACUCCCCUAUGCUGGCCUCUCUCCACCUGAUGGUGGAGGGCUCUCACCCUCUCCUCUGCCCCCUGGCCUCUGUCUCGCAGCUUAGGGAGAGCCGGCUUUGGGAAAUGUCAUGAGUUUUCAGCUACAACUGCUGCUGCACUGCAGUUCUCUUGGGAUUUUGUCAUUCCAAGUUCCAGGGCAGGGAAUCAGUUUGGCCCAACUCGGGGGUCAAUGGUAGCCCAUCGAUUACUGCCUCGGGGGCAGAGGGGAGGACAGAUAAUACAAAACACAGUCGCCAGUGCAUCAGGGGUGGGGCAGGCAGGUCAUGGCCAUGUCCAGUACAGUCUCUUGGUUUUGAGGCAGAAUCUUCUGGGAAACUGAAGCCUGGUAGAGGCAUCUCCACCAGGAGAGCUGGGUGGAUAGCCUUGGCCUCCAUGUGCGGGCAGGAGAACUGAAGGUUAGAGAGGGCACCCCACUAGAACAUUGACGAGCUGGAGUCUUCAUUGUCAUUUAGGCUGAGAAGAGGUCAGCGACCCCGGAGGCGGGUCCUGGGCCAUCUUCUGGCCACAGGCGUGGCUCCUGCCUUGUGCAUUCUAGAGCCUAGGGGGCUGGGGGAGUAAUAGCUGCAUGGGGAUCGCUUCUCUGCCUUGGUCUCCUUGUGAUGGGGAGCUUUUAUCACAGACUGUCUUCAUCUGACCUCCCCGUGACACUGGAUGAAAAGUGUUGUGUGAGCCUUUCUGGGCAGAGGGUCCGUACCUCUCUGAGAUUCUCCCAGGGGCCCUGGACUCAGUCAUGUGUAGACCCGCUGCUUCUUGGAACUUGUUAGUGAAAACAAUUUCUUGUGUCCGCAACUAUGGAGCACGUGGCCUGGCUCUUUGUCAUCAAAGACAUGAGGAGGUGCCUUCAGAGUCUUUGCUGCAGGCCGGGGAGGUUGUCACCCAGGAGAGGGUGCACAGGGGCUGUGCUGUGUUCACGUGCUCCCCGCUGCUGGGUUGGCACCUGGCUCGGGAGAGCCCUUGGACUUGGGUCCAGGAGCGUUUUUUCCCCUACCUCCCCCUGUUCUUCCAAAAGAGCCUCCCCUGGGGCUGGGGAGCCACGUGAGCUUCUUGGAAUGUGUGCCCACAGGGAGAAAGAGCCUCCUUCCUUUUGUGCCUCUUCAGGGGUCAUAUCAUGGGUCAAGGUGGUUUAGCCCAUGACCAGAGUGUUCCCCUUGUGGCUUCCUGUCUGGGUCAGGGCCAAGUUUCCCAGGCUUUAAGGGGUUCUCUGAAAAGAUCGGACCCAGCGACGAACGCCACUGCACCUUUCCGAAAGCAGCUGUCACACAAGGUAUUAGUUAUGUGCCCGGAGGUUCCGACAGAGACAUGUCAGUGCCCGGCCGGAACGCCUGAAAACAUUCAUCCCGGUGGCAUGUGGGUGCUGACGGUGGGUGCUGCCACCCUCCCGCUGCCCGUGCUUCCCAUGGACGUGUGUGUACUAUUUACGUGGCUAAUAGGCUUCUUGACUGAGGGUGACGUUCACAUGCUCUAAAAAGUCCAUUAACUGAAUUUAAGCUUCUCCAGAGGUCGUGGGGCCUAGUCUGUCUUUAGCAUGUGACGUGGAGGGAAUUGGAAAUCCAAGGACCCCUUCUGCUGGGCCUUUACCGGGACUGGAGACAGUGAGCUUUGCUGAGUGAGUAGAUCGUCUUCAGUCUGCCCGGAGCCUGCGGGUCCAGUGGAGUCCGAAGUGCUGGGUCAACCUGCCAGUUUCGGCCGGGGCUUUCCUUCGGAUGGGGUACCUGCUGCCAGGAGUCAAGGAGCACAAAGGCUAUACCGUCCGGAACAAGACACGCGCUGGAAAGCACUGGAUGGAGUGAGCCCGACCUUCUGCUUUGAGGGCCUCUCCGCAGUGAGUGUGUCGUGGGGCACCCAGCUCGCACCCUUAUAGGGGCCGCCCUUCCUCCAAGCAACCCUACUCCUGAGGCAGGGGCCAGGCCAGCCGUGGCAGAGCGCGGGCACAGGGUCACGCGAAUGAGGGCCCAUUUUAAACACCUCACGAAGAGCAAGUGUUUAUUCUCCUGCUGUAAAUAUAGGAGCUGCCCUAAGGACUCAUUUCGUUCCUGCAGAGGAAAGCCUGAGGCGGCGGUAGCCCCUGGGCAGACAGGCGAGAGUGGGCAGGGCUGCGAGGCUACGGCAGGACAGCGGGGCCCGGCCCGCCACUGGAAGCAGCCUGAGCUCAGGCCAGGGACUCUGAGGGCCGCUGCCCCAGGCAGAGCUCGGCCUGUGGGCACGACCUGGCUAGGCGGAGGCUGAGAGAACGGCAAAGAGUUGCCUCUGCACUGGAAGCCCGAGACCACGCUCCACCAGCCCCAAGCUCCCCCACUAAGGGUGCCCUCCUGCACGUUGCAGGUGAGCUGGGCCGAGGUGAGGGCCUGUGGAACUUCCCUGAAGAGCAAGCUGUCUGUUGUGUGGCCUGAUGGUCACAGCCCAUCUCCUCUGGUGUUUGCCCAGCCUGAGCUGACCCUGGCCUGGGCUUCGUGAGCUGCCCUUAUGCCACCCUGUGGCCGCUCUGCCCGAGCCAGGAGAGAUGUGGUGCGGUGCAGAGACGCAGGGUGUGGCCGCAGGACCCCCUGGAGCACCCGCAGCAGGCUGGUCACUCCGCCUAUGCCCAGCGUUUUCUGACACAGACCUUCUCCCACAGCUUUCUAUGCCUCUGCCUUGGACCCUUGAAAAGGGAUGUGUGACUCUGACCGAAGGGACAUCAGUUCCCGUUCCUCUACAUCAACAGUUCUCAACAUUAGCCUCUGUCAGGAUUACGGAGGGCCGGCCAAGACGCAGGCUGCCAGGCUCCGCCCAGGAAAUCAGAUGAGGAAAACGUCUUGUUGACAAACCCACCCCUCUGUCUGAGGCACUCACAGCCUAAAGGAGAGACCCAGCCAUGCGACUAUGGCCCCUCUGGACCACGCAAGCCGCCAGGAAGGAAUGGAAGAGGUGAUGGCUUUCCUGACGUUUCCAGAUGCUUUUGGCAGAAGCGAAUGGAAUGAAGAUGUAUGGUGACGGGAAACAUAGAUGGCAGUCCAGAACAACAAUCGUGUCAGCUCUGGAUGUCCCUGCAGAGCUCGGCACAGGGCGGAGUGAGUGUGGGAACGCGAGGCUGGGGGCCGUGUGCGGGUUCACCUGUCCUCUGCUCAGGGCCCCUCCCCCGACACCAGCUUCUUUGUGCUAGUAAGUAAGUCCCAGAAGAGAGCCCACUGUCAGUGCAGAGGACUGAGGGGCCCUCACACAAAGGAGCACCUGGUCUGGGAGGCCUCGGCUGCCCGGAACUGCAGGGCCAGGGCCAAGGCCAGGAGGGGAAGAGAGGGGAGGUGCGGCGCCCACAGCUCACCUCCAGGAGGGACUGCAGAGGAAUGCUCCUUCUGUCCCAGAUGGAGGCAGGCAGUGACAGAGGCUCCAGAGGAAGAUCUUUUCCCACAGCAGGUCCUCUGGUGGGUCCACCAGUCACGUGUGACUGCCCUGGCCCACAGGAAGCCCUGGGGCACAGUGCCUGUCUGCCUGUAAGCAAGGCCUUCUGGGUACAGCGACUAAGCUCUGCUUGAGCAGAUGUGACAGGAAUUCCGCCCGGACUAGCUCUGUCCCUGGCACUUGGGGUGUGGGACCCUCAGUGAUGGCACUGUUCAGGGAAGCAGAAUUACAAGGCCUGCCCAAGAUAAAAACAGCAAAAUCCACUCUCUGUCCUCCUCAUGGGUUUGGAAGAGAAGUGCUUUGAGAAGAGCAGCUUUCUAUACACACACGGAAUAGUGCUGAGGACUGUGACUCAGGCUCUCCCAGGAGGGCGAUGCAGCCUGCGGUGUCACGGGACGUCAGUGUGCUGGGACCUGUGUUGCCACCGCACAGCCCGCCUUCCUCGGGAACUGGGAGGGACUUCUGGCAGAGACCCUGGAAGGCUCCCGAUCUCCAUGGGAAGCCCCAGGGAUGAUACAGAGUCCGGGGCUGCAGCAGCUCUGAAGGCCAGUUUCCCUUUGCUUCCGUGCCCCAUCCAGAGGGCGAGCCUUCCAGAGGCCUGCUGCUCAGACCCUUGGUAGGGAGGACCGUGGAGAUGUGGCAGGCAGUGAGACACAGCCUCAGAGGCAGCCCUCAUAUCUUCAUCGUGGCAGAGAGUUCUCAAAGCAUGCUCCCUUUGGAGAGCUCCUUUAAUUUCCGAGCAGUCCUGAGAGGCUGCGUGGGGGGACGGUCACAUCUAUUUUACAGAGUAGGGGGCUGGAUUCAGAGGGGGGGUUAAUUUGCAUGCCAUCACGCAGCUGGUUAGCCAGGCCCGCGCCCAGGGCUGCCCUGACAGGCAGGACCUGAUGGGCUGUGUGCUGGCAUCUGGGGGUGCACCACCCGGGAGCGGGGGUGGUUGGGGGUUGUGGCUGAAUCCUGUCUGCCUCAUCAGCGGCUCAAGGACUACACCCUUCCAGUGCGGGCCCUCUGGGUUGCGUGUCUGUCUUAGGGGCAGUUGCGCUGCUCCCCACAGCCUCCGUGAGUCUCCCUGGGGAGAUUUCAGGGCUGGGAGGUGGGGGAGGCCCAGCCCUAUCUCACUCUCACGUAUCUGCCCACUCAGAUCCACCUCAUCAGCAGGGCAGUGAGGCACAGGGAGAGCAAGCAGGUUUUGGGGAGGUGGAGGAUGCUUGGGAAUACAAAGAUAAGGGGCAGAGGGCUGUGCCCAGAGGAUGCUGGGGUUCGGGGACAGAAGUGUAACACAGCUAUAUGGGCUGGGUCUGGGAGGGGCUCUCCCGCUCAGUAUCCCUGCAUUCACGCCUCCCCACCCACCUAAGGUCUUAGUGUCCUUCAAGGGUCACCUUCUGUGAUGACAUCUGCUGUCACGGCUCAAGUCUGAUUCUCUCCUCAGGCUUCCUGUCUCCCUACAUCCCUUCAACUGUCCCUCACAAUUAAUGUCUAUGUUCUUCCCGAUUUCGAGCUUCCGGUCUCCUCAACAAAGGCAAGUGCUUGAAAGUAGCCUUAGCCGACCAUGGGCACAGUCGGAGCUCCCUGCAAGCAUGGGCCGCAUACGCAGGGGGACAGGCCGUGGGCCCUUACCUGCCGCUGCCGAUGGAUGGAAAGGCGAUGGACUUCAGCUUCUUGUCAUCCGCCAGGGCCAAGCAGUUCUUCACUGUCUUUUCCAGAAGUUCCUCACACUUGUCUGCACCCCAGACUGGACUGUUACAGUGGAUCACAAACUUGGCGGGCAGGCCAUGGCCUGCGCUGACAGCGGCUGGAGGGGACAAGACAGAAGCAGUGAGCUGGGUCCCCCUGCAGUAGCACGCGUGCUAGGUGCCGAGCCCAGGCCGGCUCUCCAGCUCCAGCACGUCUGCCCGGGCCCCCCGACCACCUGGUCCAGGAGGGCUGCAGCUGCCUGCUGCCUUGUGAUUCCCACGGAAGCUCGAGCCGGAAACUGCUUGUCCUGCAGUCUCCUCCCUCGGUGGCGGGGUGGGGUGGGGGGACGCCAAGCCAACCCCCACCCUUGGAAAGUUGGCGUUAGGACGCGUGGCCACCAGGAACUUCAGCCAAGGUCACAGUAAACCCUCUCCCUAGCCUCCCAGAAGGCCGAGCCAUAACCAUCUAACUUGACCAAAUGUGUCAGAAUGUUUGUAGCCUCCAAUUAAUCGCCUUUCGGGGGUCUCCAACCGCCCUAUCCUCAAGUGGAUUAAUGUGCAUUUAAUUAUGAUGUACCGAUAUCUAUAAAUCUCUGACACAGUUCGGAACAAACCUCCUGGGAAAGUAACCCA